GAGAUCAACCUCCCAAGCGGUACCAGGAUCCACACUCACAGACAGCAUGCACCAAGAUCCGGCUGGGCCCCCUCACCUGCUUCCUGAACAUGGGCGAGUCAUCGAGCCUGCUGAAAAACAUGGCUGCCUCCGCCAGUCCCGCUGCCGCCGCCGCCACCACCACCACCACCUAUUCACUCCACACGGCCACACUACCUCCUCAAAGACCGCGGCGGCAUCUGGUAGACUCGCUCCGUGGAGACCGCACUCCGCAGCCACCACCUCCACCUCCUCUCCGGAGAACCGCUCCUCCCUCCACCUUCGGCCACCGCGCGCGACACUGGGAACGCGACCCACAGGCACAAC
rnacentral:misc_RNA from 1 species